GUGGGGACUUUUUCCUAUUAGAUGGUCAGGGAAGGUCUCUCAGGAGGUAACAAUGAAGCUGAGACCUCUGAAGACCUGGAAGGCACUGUCCAUUGGAACUACAAGAAGGAGAUUUCUGGGCACAUGGAACAGCAAGUGCAAAAGUCUUAAGGUGGAAGUUAAGCUAAUGUGUUCAAGGAGCAGCAAGAAGGUCAUUCAUUGUAGCUGGAGACAGUGCACAGCUGGAGAGAGGGAUAAAAGAUGAGAUUGGAGAAGUGGAUGGGCUGUAUCAUGUAUCCUUAGGAGUUAUGAAUGAAAUAUUGGCAAGCAGGAAUGAAGACAAGGAGAGCUAUUAAGAGGCUAUUGGAGCCCUGGCUGGUUUGGCUCAGUGGAUAGUGUGUCGGCCUGCAGACUGAAAGGUCCCGGGUUUCAUUCCGGUUGCGGGCUCAGUCCCCGGGGGGCGAUGUUCAGGAGUCAGCCGAUCAAUGAUUCUCCCAUCAUUGAUGUUUCUGUCUCUCUCUCUCUUCCUCUCUGAAAUCAAUAAAAACAUAUUUUUUGAAAAAGAGGCUAUUGGAUGAGGUAGAGUUUCACUUUAUGCACUGAGAAAGGCUUAGAGAAAUGCAGUCAGGUAAAGAAAUGCUCUUUUUUUUUUUUUU